CUGAUUCUGAAACAAAAGAGAUAAGAAACAGAUAAUUCUCAGGAUGACUGUUGCUAGUCAGUAGCACUGAGGAUCUUUUGCUUUCUUGUAGCAGGGGGACUAUAGGGCAUGGGCUGCUGGGUGGGGGUAGAGCCAGGACAGAUGGUCUGGAUUGGCCAAGGGGAUAUUCCAUACCUUGUGACAUCAUGUGAAAGGCCACAAACCUGUGGACUGUUGGCUAAGGGAGGUGGCUGCUACUCAGAGAUUAGCUGGGUAUUACUGGGAGUCAGCUGGCAGUUGAAGUGAAAUCUAAUUCCAUGAACUUUCGCAAAAAAUUUCAAGAAGCCUCAGAUUUAUUAUUGGACAGACAAGGAAGCAGAGUGCUCAAAGACUGACAGACUGAAAGUGAUGAAAACACGAAAGGCAGCCAGUUCAGGAGGUUAGCAUCAGGCGUGUGCUUUCCUUUACCUGGCCAUGGAGCCUGUGACCUACUAAUGCAGACUGACACAGAAGGUGCCUUCAGCUUGCAGACAGACUAUAAGCCUGAAAGAUAAGACUUCUCCCAAAGUUAUGGAAUGAGCCUUAACAAUGAGCAUCUUCUCACUAAAGGAAUGAAAACAAUGCCAUCACAGUGAAUACUACAUAUGAAAAGGAAGGAGUAUAUAUUUCAUCCCAGAAGUUAGCACUGCUGUCAUUCUGUAGGCUAUAGGAAGGCACUGUAAGCCACGGAUCUGUCUUGUGACUUCAUGCCCUUGUAUUUGGCAUUUAGGUUACAAGCCUGUAUGUCCAUGUCCAUUAAUGGGGUAAAAUGGCUUAUAUCUUUGCUCAAGUGAAAAAUCAAGCAUAUAAUAUUUUUACCUCUAUCUAAGUAUUCUAGAUAAGGCCUCUGGCAAAAAUUAAAUGUUAAUUUACUUUCACAUAGCCAGUUUCCAUAUAACAUACAGGAGAGG